GAGUUUGAUCCUGGCUCAGAUUGAACGCUGGCGGCAUGCCUUACACAUGCAAGUCGAACGGCAGCACGGACUUCGGUCUGGUGGCGAGUGGCGAACGGGUGAGUAAUAUAUCGGAACGUACCCUGGAGUGGGGGAUAACGCAGCGAAAGUUGCGCUAAUACCGCAUACGAUCUACGGAUGAAAGUGGGGGCUCGCAAGACCUCAUGCUCGUGGAGCGGCCGAUAUCUGAUUAGCUAGUUGGUAGGGUAAGAGCCUACCAAGGCAUCGAUCAGUAGCUGGUCUGAGAGGACGACCAGCCACACUGGGACUGAGACACGGCCCAGACUCCUACGGGAGGCAGCAGUGGGGAAUUUUGGACAAUGGGGGCAACCCUGAUCCAGCAAUGCCGCGUGAGUGAAGAAGGCCUUCGGGUUGUAAAGCUCUUUUGUCAGGGAAGAAACGGUGAAGGCUAAUAUCCUUUGCUAAUGACGGUACCUGAAGAAUAAGCACCGGCUAACUACGUGCCAGCAGCCGCGGUAAUACGUAGGGUGCAAGCGUUAAUCGGAAUUACUGGGCGUAAAGCGUGCGCAGGCGGUUAUGUAAGUCAGAUGUGAAAUCCCCGGGCUUAACCUGGGAAUGGCAUUUGAGACUGCAUGGCUAGAGUGUGUCAGAGGGGGGUAGAAUUCCACGUGUAGCAGUGAAAUGCGUAGAUAUGUGGAGGAAUACCGAUGGCGAAGCAGCCCCCUGGGAUAACACUGACGCUCAUGCACGAAAGCGUGGGGAGCAAACAGGAUUAGAUACCCUGGUAGUCCACGCCCUAAACGAUGUCUACUAGUUGUCGGGUCUUAAUUGACUUGGUAACGCAGCUAACGCGUGAAGUAGACCGCCUGGGGAGUACGGUCGCAAGAUUAAAACUCAAAGGAAUUGACGGGGACCCGCACAAGCGGUGGAUGAUGUGGAUUAAUUCGAUGCAACGCGAAAAACCUUACCUACCCUUGACAUGUACGGAAGCCUUGAGAGAUCGAGGCGUGCUCGAAAGAGAGCCGUAACACAGGUGCUGCAUGGCUGUCGUCAGCUCGUGUCGUGAGAUGCUGGGUUAAGUCCCGCAACGAGCGCAACCCUUGUCAUUAGUUGCUACGAAAGGGCACUCUAAUGAGACUGCCGGUGACAAACCGGAGGAAGGUGGGGAUGACGUCAAGUCCUCAUGGCCCUUAUGGGUAGGGCUUCACACGUCAUACAAUGGUACAUACAGAGGGCCGCCAACCCGCGAGGGGGAGCUAAUCCCAGAAAGUGUAUCGUAGUCCGGAUUGUAGUCUGCAACUCGGCUACAUGAAGUUGGAAUCGCUAGUAAUCGCGGAUCAGCAUGUCGCGGUGAAUACGUUCCCGGGUCUUGUACACACCGCCCGUCACACCAUGGGAGCGGGUUUCACCAGAAGUAGGUAGCUUAACCGCAAGGAGGGCGCUUACCACGGUGGGAUUCGUGACUGGGGUGAAGUCGUAACAAGGUAGCCGUAUCGGAAGGUGCGGCUGGAUCACCUCCUUUCUA
rnacentral:rRNA from 1 species